GAGGGUGUAGCUCAGUGGUAGAGUUCAUGCUUAUCAUGCAUGAGGUUCUGGUUUAAUCCCCAGUACCUCCA
rnacentral:tRNA from 1 species